AUUGAACGCUGGCGGCAGGCCUAACACAUGCAAGUCGAGCGAGCGGCGGACGGGUGAGUAAUGUAUGGGGACUGCCCGAUAGAGGGGGAUAACUACUGGAAACGGUGGCUAAUACCGCAUACUAUCGGAUAACCCAUAUGGGAUUAGCUAGUAGGUAAGGUAAUGGCUUACCAAGGCGACGAUCCCUAGCUGGCCUGAGAGGAUGAUCAGCCAAAUUGGGAUUGAGACACGGCCAAGAUCCCUACGGAGGCAGCGGUGGGGAAUAUUGGACAAUGGGGGAAAGUCGGAUGAAGCCCUGCGGCGUGUAUGAAGAAGGCCUUGGGUUUGUAAAGUACUUUCAGUCGGGAGGCGUUACCGACACAAAAAGCAACGGCUAACUCCGUGCCAGCAGCCGCGGUAAUUC
rnacentral:rRNA from 1 species